GAUUAUUCCAAGAAUGGAGAGUUGCUUGUGGUACCUCCGGAGCUAUGGGAAUAGUAGGUGGCAGGAAACGGAGCUGCGAGAGGAGGGGAAGGUCCACCUUACGUCUGAAAGCUGGGGAAAGAGCGGCAGCCUACACGGAGAGCUCGAAGAGGACGUUGGCUGAGCCUAACUACCCCUGGAUAUUUUAUUAGCAUCAGGACCUCUCUAGAUGACCAUGGACUUCUGCAGUUACCAGUAUGGCGGAGUUAGGUAUCCUAGAGUUGAAACUGGCGGGUCAAAGGGUAUGUUUUUCAAUGUUGAGAAACAUGAGCCAACCUGAUUUCCACAAUGGUUAAAUAAAAAUACUACGUAAUAACAAC
rnacentral:lncRNA from 1 species